UUGGCUGCAGAAAAAAAAAAAAAAACAGAAACCAGACAGGCUACAAACGAAUGGUAACAAAGGACAAGACAAAAAAAAAAGGGCGAUGCUUUAAAAAAAAAAUAACGAAAGAGGUGCCAGAAAAGAUGGCAACGUUUCCUUACGGUGUUGUCCUUUUUUGUCUCACUCGCGCUCCCCUUUGUGCUGCAUCCCAGCACUUACUGCUCAAGCAGUCUCAGCCUGGGCAGAUGCAGUACCGCAAUAGUGUAGUUAAUAGAAAAUAAAAGCGCAGGAUGUUUUUUUUUUUUUUUUAUUGGCACAUAGAAUGCACCUGAUACUAAUUAAUCAACUCUCGUUUACCUCUCAAAUGAGCAGGCAUUGAUCGACUUCUUUGAGAAAUUUCCACUCAGGACGAUGAAGAAAACAAGGAAAACAAAAAAAAGACAUGGAAAAUGAAAACUGAGGACUAACAGUUUUUGUUGCUGCAGCUUGGCACUGGUAGCAGUACUGUAAUAUGAAUUGGGAUUUAUGUGAGGAAAAAGAAAACCUUGCUGCUGCACAGGGAAGGAAAAAAACAGGUCACAGGCUCUGCAGUAAAUGCUCUGCAACUGCACACUGCAAAACAUAUUCAUCACACUCCAGACUGCUGCUGACGUCACCCAGACGCCAACUGCAACUUUGCAUGAUGCCAUGCUUGAUUCAUCAGAGCACUUUCGCAAAAAAAAAACCAAAACAACAAGAAUAACAAAAAAAAACAAAGAACAAAAAAAAGGUUUGAAUGGUGAUGGUAGGGUUUCCAAAUCCUUUAUGGACAGUCAUUCCCAGAACACCGGAGCAUAUCCGAUGACAAGAUGCUAUUUAGUUUGUACACAGACUGCUGAACAAAAAAAAAACUAAAACCUGUGAUGGUUUGGAACCCUGCCACUUUCCUACCCAGAGCAAAAGCUUUGGACUGCCUAUAAGCGCCAACACAGGCUAUGCAGCAUCUGUACCUUUUGGCACGCUGGCAUGCUUUUUUUUUUGUGUCUACAAUCUUACAGUGCCAACCGCAUAACGAUAAACAUGAAACACACCUCUGUGAUGCCCACUUCCAUUAUCUGGUAUUAAAGGGUUGAAUUGUGUUGAUUUUUUCUUACCUGGUUCUGAAUGCUGAAGAAUGGUACAGCGAGACGUGUGGCAGCAGCCUUUUGCAGUCCAGCACAUUCAGCAGACGCAGUGAGAGAGAGAAAUUAGUGAUGGCGGAAGGAAGAUUUGAGGCGAAUUAAAAUGUCGGCGCAGUGUUUGGGGACUGCAUUUCUAAACGAUUGUGUAAAUGGGGGCUAGUGCAUGACAGCAUGUUUAUGGGCACUGAGACCUGCUGGCAAAGACAAAGGUGCUACUGGGAUUACUAAUUGGAAUAUACAGACAUCGGAAACGGUUCCAUGGAUUACCUAAACAGCAGCAGCAGCAGUAGCCCGAUAGGUGCAGUUUGAUUUGGAGGAAAUGUCUUUUGCCUACAGAGCAGCAAGAUGAAUGAAUAUGCAAGGUAUUGUACUGCCAUACUGCGCAGUGUGACACAACAGGGCCAGCGUGCACCACAAAGCAAAUCUACAUUUAAUAGCCCUAUUAAUAGCAUUGUAAUGUUUUCUGUAAAGGAUAACAUUUAAAUAUUGUUUAGGAGACACAGCGGUGGCUAAUACUAAACCAUACCAUUUUUUUUAUGCCAGGUCAACAGUUGCCUGUUUAUUCUUUUCUCAAAAAAAUUGAGGAAUGAAUCACAAGAGUAAAAUGACAAUUAAAUAUCCAAUGAAGGUCAGGUGUAACCAGACAGGGCUUGAUUUGAUUAACCUACUGUGUAACCUGACAGGAGCAUUUUGCAGUACCACAAAAUCUAGCUGGAUUGCAUCCACCACUUUCUCAAAAUCUUGGAAUAACCACCGAUAUGAUUAAUGCAGUCCAAGGUGUAUCACCCGUGCUGUAAAACGCUCUAAAAAUCUGAUCAAAUUGACCCCAUUUUCACUUUUAGAUGUACUAGGCUGUUGCUAGUGUACAGGGUUUAAUUACAUUAAAGUUGUCCAAUAAACACAACUUCAUCACACUUUCUGUGAGAUAUUUGUUUGGUUAUUUGGUCCUUAAGACUUUUUAAUAGCCACUUGCAAUGGAUCAAAAGCAAAUGUUUUCAUCUGAACCAUGAAACAAGGCUGGGGCUGCUCUUGGUUUUAAUUGCAACCCAGUGUGUUUGGUGUCCUGCCAAAGAAAACACAUUAGAGUUUUAAUAAACCUGGCCCAGAGCCUGCAAUUGUUGAUCCAGUCUUGCUUUCUGUAGCGGGGUUUUCUGAAGUGCAAGUAUCUCAUUCAGAAAGGGAUUCAGAGUUAUAAUUACCUGGGAAACCAACUGCUGCAAACCAAUGAACAGCUAUUGCAGAAACAAUGGAAGCCUUUGUUUUGACAGAAUGCCAUUUAUUUAGCUGCAAAUGGAAAUUCCAUUGAGGAAAAUUAACCCAAUUAGGGAAAUAGCUAAAGGAAAAGAAAAGUCCCAAUCUCCCAGACCUAAAUGACCUAACAAAAUUAAAUAUGGAUAUGAUUUAAUUUCCUGACCCAAUUCUUCAAACUACAGAUAAAAAAAAACCUUUGAGACCUGAGGUUUGAAAGACAUGACUGAUAUUGUAUGUUAUUACAUUGUUGAAUAGGUAUGAUAAGAAAACUUGUGUCACCGAAUUAGUCAUUUUAAAGAAAAACAACACUGCUACACUCCCCAAGACUGAAAAGCAUAAUUCUGCUAAUGGUCUUUUUAUUGAGCAAAUAAACUGAUUAUAGCUUGCAGUAAAAACAUUUUUUUAAAAAGUAUUUAAUUAUUAAACUUGGAAAGUACUUUUUUCAAGCCGCUGUGGUAAAUUAAGGUGAAUCAAAACAGAACAAAAAGUCAUUAAAAAUUAAAUAUAAGCUCACUAAAUGAUCUUUUAAUCAUAUUGAAAUUAUGCUUUAAAAUUCUAUUUAGGACCAUAUAAAAUCAUUGGACAAUUCCAAUCACACCACACAGAAUAUGCUUGUUUACAAUGGCUAGAUACAGUUAUUGGGGCAGCAGUGUGGAGUAGUGGUUAGGGCUCUGGACUCCUAACCAGAGGGUCGUGGGUUCAAUCCCCAGUGAGGGACACUGCUGUUGUACCGUUGAGCAAGGUACUUUACCUAGAUUGCUCCAGUAAAAACCCAACUGUUUAAAUGGGUAAUUGUAUGUAAAAAUAAUGUGAUACGUGUAUAAUGUGAAAUAAUGUAUAAUGUGAUAUCUUGUAACAAUUGUAAGUCGCCCUGGAUAAGGGCGUCUGCUAAGAAAUAAAUAA